AUUGAACGCUGGCGGCAUGCCUUACACAUGCAAGUCGAACGGCAGCACGGGUGCUUGCACCUGGUGGCGAGUGGCGAACGGGUGAGUAAUACAUCGGAACAUGUCCUGUAGUGGGGGAUAGCCCGGCGAAAGCCGGAUUAAUACCGCAUACGAUCUACGGAUGAAAGCGGGGGACCUUCGGGCCUCGCGCUAUAGGGUUGGCCGAUGGCUGAUUAGCUAGUUGGUGGGGUAAAGGCCUACCAAGGCGACGAUCAGUAGCUGGUCUGAGAGGACGACCAGCGACACUGGGACUGAGACACGGCCCAGACUCCUACGGGAGGCAGCAGUGGGGAAUUUUGGACAAUGGGCGAAAGCCUGAUCCAGCAAUGCCGCGUGUGUGAAGAAGGCCUUCGGGUUGUAAAGCACUUUUGUCCGGAAAGAAAUCCUUGGCCCUAAUACGGUGGGGGGAUGACGGUACCGGAAGAAUAAGCACCGGCUAACUACGUG
rnacentral:rRNA from 1 species